AACGAACGCUGGCGGCAUGCCUAACACAUGCAAGUCGAACGAAGGCUUCGGCCUUAGUGGCGCACGGGUGCGUAACGCGUGGGAAUCUGCCCUUUGCUUCGGAAUAACAGUUAGAAAUGACUGCUAAUACCGGAUGAUGUCGCAAGACCAAAGAUUUAUCGGCAAAGGAUGAGCCCGCGUAGGAUUAGCUUGUUGGUGAGGUAAAAGCUCACCAAGGCGACGAUCCUUAGCUGGUCUGAGAGGAUGAUCAGCCACACUGGGACUGAGACACGGCCCAGACUCCUACGGGAGGCAGCAGUGGGGAAUAUUGGACAAUGGGCGAAAGCCUGAUCCAGCAAUGCCGCGUGAGUGAUGAAGGCCUUAGGGUUGUAAAGCUCUUUUACCCGGGAUGAUAAUGACGGUACCGGGAGAAUAAGCUCCGGCUAACUCCGUGCCAGCCGCCGCGGUAA
rnacentral:rRNA from 1 species